ACUCAAAUGAAUUGACGGGGGCCCGCACAAGCAGCGGAGCAUGUGGUUUAAUUCGAAGCAACGCGAAGAACCUUACCAGGGCUUGACAUCCCUCUGGAAUACCUAGAGAUAGGUAUGGCCCUUCGGGGACAGAGGAGACAGGUGGUGCAUGGUUGUCGUCAGCUCGUGUCGUGAGAUGUUGGGUUAAGUCCCGCAACGAGCGCAACCCCUAUCUUUAGUUGCCAGCAUUUAAGGUGGGCACUCUAAAGAGACUGCCGUGGAUAACACGGAGGAAGGUGGGGAUGACGUCAAAUCAUCAUGCCCCUUAUGUCCUGGGCUACACACGUGCUACAAUGGCCUGAAACAAAGGGAAGCCAAGGCGCAAGCCGGAGCAGAUCCCAUAAACCAGGUCCCAGUUCGGAUUGUGGGCUGCAACCCGCCCACAUGAAGUCGGAGUUGCUAGUAAUCGCGAAUCAGAAUGUCGCGGUGAAUACGUUCCCGGGCCUUGUACACACCGCCCGU
rnacentral:rRNA from 1 species